rnacentral:ncRNA from 2 species
UUACCUUUGUGGCGCAUUGGUUCAAGAGAUUAUCUGUUUUUAGAAGAUAAUCUGGUGAUUAAAAGGGAAUCAGGUGAGAGUCCUGAACAGUCCCGCUGCUGUAAAUUCCAUAUUAUAUAAAUGUCGCAAACAGUCGUUCAGACCACUGGAGAAAUGUUUGUUUCCGGGAAGGUAGUUUGCGACUAGGAAUAAGUCAGAAGACCUGCCAUGCAUAUUUCUUCACA